rnacentral:tRNA from 1 species
GGAGAGGUGUCUGAGUGGUUGAAAGAGCCAGUCUCGAAAACUGGAAUAGUCGCAAGGCUAUCGAGGGUUCGAAUCCCUCCCUCUCCG